rnacentral:rRNA from 1 species
AGUGAACGCUGGCGGUAUGCCUAAUACAUGCAAGUCGAACGGCAGCACAGUAAGAGCUCGCUUCUACGGGUGGCGAGUGGCGGACGGGUGAGGAAUACAUCGGAAUCUACUUUUACUUGGGGGACAACGGAGGGAAACUUACGCUAAUGCCGCAUACUUUCUACGGGAUAAUUCAGAAGUUCUUCGGAGCUUUCGCGAUACUAUUAGCCGAUGUCGGAUUAGCUAGUUGGCGGGGUAACGGCCCACCAAGGCGACGAUCCGUAGCUGGUCUGAGAGGAUGAUCAGCCACACUGGAACUGAGACACGGUCCAGACUCCUACGGGAGGCAGCAGUGGGGAAUAUUGGACAAUGGGCGCAAGCCUGAUCCAGCCAUACCGCGUGGGUGAAGAAGGCCUUCGGGUUGUAAAGCCCUUUUGUUGGGAAAGAAAAGCAGCAGGUUAAUACCCCGCUGUUCUGACGGUACCCAAAGAAUAAGCACCGGCUAACUUCGUG